rnacentral:rRNA from 1 species
GCUCCUUGGUGAUUCAUAAUAACUAAACGAAUCGCAUGGCCUUGCGCCGGCGAUGGUUCAUUCAAAUUUCUGCCCUAUCAACUUUCGAUGGUAGGAUAGUGGCCUACCAUGGUCUCAACGGGUAACGGGGAAUUAGGGUUCUAUUCCGGAGAGGGAGCCUGAGAAACGGCUACCACAUCCAAGGAAGGCAGCAGGCGCGCAAAUUACCCAAUCCCAAUUCGGGGAGGUAGUGACAAUAAAUACUGAUACAGGGCUCUUUUGGGUCUUGUAAUUGGAAUGAGUACAAUCUAAAUCCCUUAACGAGGAACAAUUGGAGGGCAAGUCUGGUGCCAGCAGCCGCGGUAAUUCCAGCUCCAAUAGCGUAUAUUAAAGUUGUUGCCGUUAAAAAGCUCGUAGUUGAACCUUGGGCCUGGCUGAUCUGUCCUCCUAAUCGAGCGCACGGAUUCGGUCGGGCCUUUCCUUCUGGGGAGCCCGAUGUCCUUCACUGGGCGUCGCGGGGAACCAGGACUUUUACCUUGAAAAAAUUAGAGUGUUCAAAGCAGGCCUUUGCUCGAAUACAUUAGCAUGGAAUAAUAGAAUAGGACAGAGGUUCUAUUUUGUUGGUUUCUAGGACCGCUGUAAUGAUUAAUAGGGAUAGUCGGGGGCGUCCGUAUUCAAUUGUCAGAGGUGAAAUUCUUGGAUUUAUUGAAGACGAACUACUGCGAAAGCAUUCGCCAAGGAUGUUUUCAUUAAUCAGUGAACGAAAGUUAGGGGAUCGAAGACGAUCAGAUACCGUCGUAGUCUUAACCAUAAACUAUGCCGACUAGGGAUCGGACGGUGGUUUUUUUAUGCCCCGUUCGGCACCUUACGAGAAAUCAAAGUUUUUGGGCUCGGGGGGGAGUAUGGUCGCAAGGCUGA